UUUGUUGAUUGAGAUCUGCUCCUCUGUCAAGUAACUCUUCAACACCUUCUUUCCAACCACUUCGACAACCAACAUGUAGUGCCGUUUCUCCUCUUUUGUCUUCU
rnacentral:ribozyme from 1 species